UCUCACGGUCUGGUGUUGUUUCCACCAUUU
rnacentral:piRNA from 1 species